AUUGAACGCUGGCGGCAGGCCUAACACAUGCAAGUCGAACGGUAACAGGAAGAAGCUUGCUUCUUUGCUGACGAGUGGCGGACGGGUGAGUAAUGUCUGGGAAACUGCCUGAUGGAGGGGGAUAACGACUGGAAACGGUAGCUAAUACCGCAUAACGUCGCAAGACCAAAGAGGGGGACCUUCGGGCCUCUUGCCAUCGGAUGUGCCCAGAUGGGAUUAGCUAGUAGGUGGGGUAACGGCUCACCUAGGCGACGAUCCCUAGCUGGUCUGAGAGGAUGACCAGCCACUCUGGAACUGAGACACGGUCCAGACUCCUACGGGAGGCAGCAGUGGGGAAUAUUGCACAAUGGGCGCAAGCCUGAUGCAGCCAUGCCGCGUGUAUGAAGAAGGCCUUCGGGUUGUAAAGUACUUUCAGCGGGGAGGAAGGGAGUAAAGUUAAUACCUUUGCUCAUUGACGUUACCCGCAGAAGAAGCACCGGCUAACUCCGUG
rnacentral:rRNA from 1 species